CCUACGGGAGGCAGCAGUGGGGAAUAUUGGACAAUGGGCGAAAGCCUGAUCCAGCAAUGCCGCGUGAGUGAUGAAGGCCUUCGGGUCGUAAAGCUCUUUUACCAGGGAUGAUAAUGACAGUACCUGGAGAAUAAGCUCCGGCUAACUCCGUGCCAGCAGCCGCGGUAAUACGGAGGGAGCUAGCGUUGUUCGGAAUUACUGGGCGUAAAGAGUACGUAGGCGGUUAUUCAAGUCAGAGGUGAAAGCCCGGGGCUCAACCCCGGAACUGCCUUUGAAACUAGAUAGCUAGAGUCUUGGAGAGGUUAGUGGAAUUCCGAGUGUAGAGGUGAAAUUCGUAGAUAUUCGGAAGAACACCAGUGGCGAAGGCGACUAACUGGACAAGUACUGACGCUGAGGUACGAAAGCGUGGGGAGCAAACAGGAUUAGAUACCCUGGUAGUCCACGCCGUAAACGAUGAUAACUAGUUGUUCGGUCACUUGGUGACUGAGUGACGCAGCUAACGCAUUAAGUUAUCCGCCUGGGGAGUACGGUCGCAAGAUUAAAACUCAAAGGAAUUGACGGCUGAGAGUUGCGAGACGACACGAGGAGGAGG
rnacentral:rRNA from 1 species